rnacentral:rRNA from 1 species
CCUACGGGAGGCAGCAGUGAGGAAUAUUGGUCAAUGGGCGUGCGCCUGAACCAGCCAAGUCGCGUGAGGGAUGACUGCCCUAUGGGUUGUAAACCUCUUUUGUCAGGGAGCAAUUGGCGCUACGUGUAGCGUUAUCGAGAGUACCUGAAGAAAAAGCAUCGGCUAACUCCGUGCCAGCAGCCGCGGUAAUACGGAGGAUGCGAGCGUUAUCCGGAUUUUUUGGGUUUAAAGGGUGCGUAGGCGGAAUGCCAAGUCAGCGGUAAAAUCGCGGGGCUCAACCCCGCUCCGCCGUUGAAACUGGGGUUCUUGAGUGGGCGAGAAGUAUGCGGAAUGCGUGGUGUAGCGGUGAAAUGCAUAGAUAUCACGCAGAACUCCGAUUGCGAAGGCAGCAUACCGGCGCCCAACUGACGCUGAAGCACGAAAGCGUGGGUAUCGAACAGGAUUAGAUACCCGGGUAGUC